rnacentral:lncRNA from 10 species
GGAGCCGCGGGGUCUGCAACCAGGCUGCCUGCCAUAUGUUGUUUCUUGCAAUUAGCAGGUGCUUGGGGUGUGGGCUGGGCACCCAGAGGGCAAGGCGACUGCCUCUGCCAGGGAAACUCUCGUGAGCCAUACCAAGAGCUCAGGAAGAGAAACAAGGUGGCUGGGGGUUGAUGGGCAACCCCCAGGGCCAGUAAGAUGUGCUGGUCACGAAAGAAAUCUCUGUUUGCAGACAGUUUUAUUCCUGUACAGGUAUUUACAGCUUGCUACUGCAAAUUGAUGGAUCUUUAUUUCUGGAACUGUAGUCAUUCUUGCAGGUCCGUCGGUGCAGACAUUUUGGGAUAGUCCUUUGAUGUCUAUCAUCACACUAUGGAAGGGAGAAGAAGAAGACGGGACAAAAGGGCUGUUUUUAAUCCAGUGGCUCGGCGUUGGAAGAGAUUGGAUCCUCACAGAGAAUGCUGGUUGCAUUUCCACCAAGCUCUGGAUCACAUGGGUGAAUGAGAUAACCUUCCUGUAUUAUUCCAGACCCCAAAACAUCUCCAGAAGCACUGGAGGCCACUACAUGUGCGACUGAAUAGUUUCUUCACUCGUUCGUUCAUUAAUUCAUUUACAGAUUCAUUCAGUAAGAUUAACAUUCAGGGAAGUAUUGCAGCACAAUGAAAAGAUCAUGUCUUUGGAUUAAAAUCUCAUCUGCCAUUUGCCAGCAAUGAGAGCUGGGUUAAGUGACAACCUUUCUAAGCCUCAGGUGGAGUGAAUUAGGGUAGCCUGAAUCCACUGCUGGUAUCUAUCCCCCUGAUGACUCUGAUCAGGGACCCUAGGGCAGCGCUAAGUAGACAGAGGCUCACAUGACUUGCCAAAGUUGAGGAAAUGUUACUGAAUCGAUCUACUUGAUGGAAAUAGAUAUGUCAUCAAAAACUUGUAAAUGUUCACACGAAAUUUUAUAUAAAUUAGACUCCUUUCCAUAUUGCAGCAUCUCUUUCCUUUCUUUGUUCCUUCCUUCCUUCCUCAUCCCUCCCUCCCUCCUUUCUUCUUCUCCUUCCUCCCUCCUUUCUUUCUUCUUCCUUCCUUCCUUACU